AUUUCCUGGUGUCACAUGAACUCCAGCAUUGUUUAUUUCUGUGUCCUUAAAACCAAUUUGCUCUGUGGUAAAGGUAUACAGUUAAAGAGUAGAGUGGGACAUUUUGAUCAUGCAUAUAUACCUUGUGUAAUGAUGAAAGCAAGGCAUUGACUGUCUCUGUUACCUUGUGUAGUUAUUAUUUAUUAGUUCUCUGUGGUUGCAAUAUGCAGAAUCCUUCUUUUCAGCCUUUUUUGGAAAAUAUGGUAGGAUACUGUUAACUCUAGACACCCUACUGUGGAGUGGAACAGCUGAAUUUAUUCCUGUCAUCUGAGUGUACCAUUGUAUCCAUUUCCAGUUCCUGCCCGGACUCCCCAACCCCCCGCCUCUCUUCACCACUGUGGAACUUUCUAGUUCUAGGAGAUAAAGUCGUUUAGAGAGAAAGUUGAUCUCAUUCUCACAUGCAUGAAAUCAUGCUGUUUGUCUUUCUCUGCCUGACUCAUUUUGUUGAAGGUCAUGUCCUCCAGGUUUCUGCACGUUGCUGCAGAUGACAUGAUUUCAUGAAUUUCUACAGCCGAAGAGGAUUCCACCGUGUGCUGCAGUUUCUUUAUCCCUUUAUCUGUGCAUGAACAGGCCAAGGCCCCCUGCCCAUGGAGGUGUGCUGCAGACAGCAGCAGCAGCAGCAGCAGCAGCAGAGGCCUGGCUUCCUGAGGAAUUGCUGGCCGGUUUGAGGAAGGAAGGAAGUCCCACCUACCAUGAUCACCCUCCAGCCUGGAGGAAGCUCCAUGCCAGCAGCAUGGACCAGCAUGGGAGCCAGAGCCCUGCUAAUGCUGCAGCUCAUCACCCCUGCUCAGCAGCCCAGCAGCCCAGCAGCCAUUGCCACAUCCCAUUUCCAGGGCCUCCUGCCCCCAUGCCCCCACGUGCCCAUGGACCGACACACCACUCUUCCUGUUGGCCCAAGGUAGGCAUGGAGGGAAUUUUUCAAGUCCACUUUUAGUAGGUAAGUCAAAACCAAACAAAAUAACCAUUCCACACCUGGUCCAAUGCCCUUCCAAACUCACUCUUUUCUCUGACCCUGAAACACUUGUCCUGCAUCUCCCAGACUCCACCGUACCUUGAUCAGCAGGUCCCUCUUCACUGCAGUGUCUUUUUUGCAGAGUUCUUUUAGCUCUUUCAUGCUUUUGCUAUGGGCAGAGGAAAGAAAGAAGGGGAAAUUUGGGAAUCGGGGGAGAUUUGUGAGUUCCAGUCCCUUUUGUUUGAAAACCCAGUGAAUCCCAGCUUACUGGGUGAGAGUUUUCAGUGGAGUCCUCUGAUCACAGGGGCUCCAGAGGACCAGGGUGGGACCUCUCAUGCUCCUCCCCUGGGCCCCAUCUCCACUUCACAUGAGCCACUGCGUGUUUACAGUUAGCUUUCAGUUGGACACAGAGUUCCACUGCUGGGUACAAACACCUGAAAGCCUCCAGUUGGCUCCAGUCUGUUCCUGAUGGUGAAAAAACCUUAGUCCUGAGUUGGAAAUCCUUGCCUAGCAGUCCAGGGCAGCUUAGUGACCACAGCCACCGGCCCAUCCCUGCCUCCAGUGUCCCUGGACUCCAAGAACCUUUCAGAGUCAUUGAGGGCACAUGGGGGGAGACCUGUGAGUCCCUAGGUCAACCCUGAUGCUGCCAUGGAGAGAGCCCUCCUCACCUGGACACUCCUGCCCACGUCUUGUGUAGCUGACCUAUUGGGUUGCUGCGCAGAGCAGAGACGAUGACGUGCACCGAGGAGAAGUUGUUGAGGCUUAGGCACUCCUGGAGAGGGAAGAGUGAGCUGUGCGGUUCAGAGUAGAGCCCGGCCCACUUCAGCCUCAGCCCCCUCUGCUGAGAUCUCCCCUCCUGGAUGAAGCAGAGGCCUGGGGAGCCUCAGGAGGGCAGACCUGGGGCCCAGUGGAUGUCACUCCUCUAGGAGGAUUUUAGUUCAACCCAAGGAAGACCCCAGGUCGGAAGUGAGCAGCCACCACUGGGCCGUGGGAGUCAAGGUGAGUGAAGCUCUGGCAAGAAGAGCCUAGGGGAUGUGCAGGGUCCAGGCCAGAGAUACAGAUGCCGAUCCUGAAAGCCGAUGGAGGAGAAGAGGAAGUUCCCCAUUUUUAAAGAGGGAAUCCCCAGGCCCAACCAUAGCUUACCCUGGCCACCUUGAUCCAGUGCUCCACCACCCUGGCCCUGUCCCGGGCCCUCAUGCUGUGGUCCCCGAGGCAGGAGGUGGUGAUGCAGUUGGUGAGCCUGUUGAAGUGUGCGAUGGUGGCACGAACUGUGGGUGCCAUGUGCUCAUUCCCCUUCGGAUGUCGUUGGCCCCAGAUGCAGCCCAAGCAUUCGUAGAGCACCACCUUCUUGAACAGCUCCUUUGGGGGAGGAGGAGAGUGUCACGGACACAGCACACUGCAGCUCAGAGUCACCCACAGUCCCAGGCAGGGACUGAGCUCACAGUCAUCCACGGUCUCUGGCAGGAACCAAGCUGGAGCUCAGAAAGCUUUAAAAUGGGCUCCAGACUUGUGGGAGUCCCUGGGUUUGGUUUUCUGCCCCCGAGGGACCUGAAUGCAUCAUGGCCCAGAACCCAACAAGGGUGGGAAGAGAGAGUGACAUUUUCUCCCAGGCCAUCCACACUCCAAGAACUAGAAGGUGGCUCAGGCCUGCCCAUCCUGAGGCCUGGUCUUCCUCCCAUCCCAAUCAGCCCUCUACUACUCCUCUCCGUACCGGUGCACUUCCCUUGUGGCAGCUGCAACUAUGGGCUCUGUUUGGGUGUCUGCCAUAGAAUCCAGUAUGCAUCAGGUACCUAAUAAGUGCUGAGGGUAGUGAGGCUCCUGAGCAGCUGGGUGAGUGACCCAUGGCCCUGCCUGCGCCACAGUGAGCACCUGCCCUGCCCUGCUUUCUGUCCAUCCCCUGUCACUCAGUCUGCACAGUCACUCUGUGCAGCUGGCGCUGGUGAUGUCCCAUCUCUGCUGUCCACAUGCAGACAGGGAAGGCUUGUGGGUGAGGAAACUCAUCCAGAUCCCACGGUUGGUAAGAAGUGGGGCUGAAAUUGGACCCAGGGCAUUGGCUGCUCCUCAGGGAGAGGCUGGUCUGAGACAGCUGGUGCCAGAGACACAGCCUGCAAAGCUCAGCUGCUCACCGCAUCCAUGAGGGUCAGCUGCUCUGCCAGCAGCCUGGGAGGGAAGGUCGUCAUGUCAGGCAGCUCCUCACUGGGUUGGUUCUUUACAGACCCGCGACAGGGACAGGAGGACUCUGGGGCUGACUGUGGCUCCAGCACUGUCCCUGGAGGGGGCCCUUCCCCUGCUGCUGGUGCUGGUGCUGGCCCUGGUGCUGAAUGUAGAUACCCGGGCGCACCCAGGGCUGCACGUGACUCUGGCUCCAGAGCAGGCCCCAGGUCCGCCAGCAGUGGUGGUGCUGGCUCCAGGGCCGGCAUUGUUAAUGCGUGUUGCCCAGGACGUGGAGCAGGAUCUGGAAAAGGAGAAAAGGUCACCACACCAGUCAUUUUUCACUGGGUUUUCCAAGCACAGAAAUGACCGGGUGGAAUUUAAGGGAAUUGUAGCCCGAAAACACCACCCCCGGAAAGUCUUGCAGACUGCAAGCCCCCUCACCAUCUGGCUUGGCCUCGUUGGGCUCCGGAAGCACCAACUGGCCUAGGACAAUUUCCUGAUGGUCCUCCAAGCCCAGUCCAGGCCAGGCAAAGUUCUUGAAGGCCAGCUUUAUCCAGAAAGAUGACUGUUGCAGGGACUGAUAGCAACCUGAAGAGUUUUCAGCUGGCCAGGUGAACAAAAUGGAGGUGGUGGUGCUGGUGAUGGAGUGGACAGCUGAGUCAGAGGCCUGGUCUUCUCCCACACAACCCUACAGGGCACCCUUGCAUGGUUCUGGGUCCCUGGCCUCUUGCUGCCUGUGCAGAGGACAGCUCCACCCUACUCCAAGCCAUCAGUACUGUCCUGGAAGGGGCAGACCUGCCCAUGCAGCAGGGCUGUACAGACCCCCAUAAGCCCUGGCGUCCCACUGACGUUCUCUUCCCAAAGGCCCUGGAGCACAGCACUGUACACCUGGGCACUCAAGACUGCAGCUGCAGGCAGAUUUGUGAGCAGCUUCCUCAUCAAAGCUCCAGAUCUGGGUCCCCUGGUCCUGGGGUUAGGAGGGAAGGGGCAGAUGUCGGCGGGGGAGGAGGACAGGGAGAGCUGGGAAGCCACGGUGCUGAGGGGGAUGGGUCUACUCAGUGGCCAGCUGUGACCCCAGCCUCCCCUCUGCUUUGCAGGGGACCUAAGUCUCCAUUUACAGAACUCACUUUUUGCCUCUUGUGGGGGAAGUCCCCAGAUGUCAGCCUUCUCGUGGGAAUUAUAAGAAGUAUGAGCCCCAGGGCUCCUUUAGUCUCUCCCCAGCCAGAGUCCACAUAUUUUCCCCCAUGUUUUGUGGGUGAAAAGGCCCUUCAGAACCCUAAAUCCACCCGGUUUAUAUUUGUUGCUGGGCUGCGUCAUUCUAGUCAGAGUCUGGGAGGAUGCCACCAUACGUAGAGGAGGCCAUGAGGGUCUCACCUGUAACAUUCUGUAGAUGUGACUUGUUUAUUCUGUCUACUGUGAGUGCCUGACUCUGAGUAGAAUCAAGGCCGGGGGAUGUCAUCUGCUUUGUUUAUGAAAUGAUGCCAAGCCCCAAGAAGAGCGAUGCACAAAUGAGGUGUUUUGAAUGUAUGUGUUGAAUGAGUGAACCCCAACCUUUGGAGAACCCCAGUGAGCCUCUCCAGAUGUCUGAGUGGGCCUGUGGCUCCUUUUUCAGCACCAAGGGACCCCUCUUCUGUCUGUGUCAAGGAGAAAGACCAGCCAGAAGGAAUCUCAGACAUCCUUUACCAGUGCCAUCGCAGACUUGGUUUCUAUGUGUUUUUCCAAACAGUGAGUGAUAUAGGCCAUUGAGGCAGAAUGCUGAGAGCUGCUUCAAGUGAGGGGGAAGAGAAAAGUAACAAACAUGAAUCACAGCACCCCCAGCAGAUUUUCCAGAGUUUUAGGCUCUAGGGACCCCUUUGUUUGCUGUGUCUUAGAUCAUUGAGUCCCUUCAAGAACCCUGUGAGGUUCGUCUUCUCACUACUCCCUGUUCCAGAGGAGCCAACCGAGGCCCCGAGAGGUGCAUCUUCAAGACAGAGCCAGUAGGGGACAGAGGCACCUCUGUGUCUUGGAGGGGGAUGGACACUCACCUUCUAACCAGUAGUUCCAAAAAGUGUGGCACAGUGAUAAAGUCCCAGGAGGGGCCCAAGCAGGUGGCAUAGGAGGAGAUGGGUUUAGUUAGAAAGGCUGGAACCAGGGACUCCAACAGCUUCUCCCCAGUGCCGGGCUGGAAAGUUAGCAUCCUGCAGAUCUCAUUUUCAUACUAGGGGGACAAGGAGGGACAUGGGAGUCAGUGGUAACACCAUGGACCACCAGAGGAUCGGGAUCUGGAACUCACACCAAGAAGCACCAACCCUUCAGGGACUUGUGCAUGUGGAGAACCUGGGUGCCCAUGGUGAAAAGCGUUCUAGGCUUUCAGAGUAACAUUGCAUGUGAGGAUGGAGAAUGAUAAAACGAUUCCUGCCUUCAAGGCAUCGUCCCGGUGUUUGUCAGCUGUGGGGCAACAGCACCCUCUGUGUCAGCAACCUGCAUGAAGAGCAUCAUCCCUCCAAGUCCUCAAGGCCUGGGGAGGCCUCAUCCCGUCCUCAUUUCAGCAACAGCACACAGGACAAUACGCUCUAGAAGAACUCUUUGACUUAAAGGUAUAUGAUUGUUUUUGUUCCUUUAACAUGAACGUGAGUCUGGAGAAACAGCUACGGCCAUCCCAGCCCUGGCCAAGGGGAAAAUGCCGGAAGACUCCAGGGUGGGAGGAAGCGCGUCCCAAGGCCCAGGAUCUGCGAGGCGACUCGGGGAAAACGCAGGCAGGACCUGCUGAAGCUCACACCCGUGGACCACCCAGACUGCCUGCCGCUACAGGAUGCCCUCCGCAUCUCCCAGGACUUCUUUCUGGCAUCAGUGUGGACAUUGACCCCGCUGGACUGCAGUCACAGUGGACUCCCAAGGGGCAGGAUCCACCUCUGAUGUUCAGUGAAGACUACCAGAAAAGUCUGCUAGAGCAGUACCAUCUGGGUCUGGAUCAAAAACGCAGAAAAUACGUGGUUGGAGAGCUCAUCUGGAAUUUUGCCGAUUUCAUGACUAACCAGUGUCAGCCCAAGACUACCCCGUCGGUCAUUCUGUUCCUGCCGUCCUGUGAGGAGCCCCAAGCCAACAAGGCCACACUGGUGUGUCUCAUGAAUAACUUUAUCCGGGAAUCUUCAUGGUGACCUGGAAGGCAGAUGGUACCCCCAUCACCCAGAGCGUGGAGAAGACCACGCCCUCCAAACAGAGCAACAGCAAGUACGUGGCCAGCAGCUACCUGAGCCUGACGCCCGAGCAGUGGAGGUCCCGCAGAAGCUACAGCUGCCAGGUUAUGCAUGAAGGGAGCACCGUGGAGAAGUCAGUGGCCCCUGCAGAAUGUUCAUAGGUUCCCAGCCCCCACCCCACCCACAGGGGCCUGGAGCUGCAGGAUCCCAGGGGAGGGGUCUCUCUCUGCAUCCCAAGCCAUUCAGCCCUUCUCCCUGUACCUAGUAAACCCUCAAUAAAUAUCUUUGUCAGCCAGA
rnacentral:lncRNA from 1 species